CGUUCUGUAAGCCUGCGAAGGUGUGCUGUGAGGCAUGCUGGAGGUAUCAGAAGUGCGAAUGCUGACAUAAGUAACGAUAAAGCGGGUGAAAAGCCCGCUCGCCGGAAGACCAAGGGUUCCUGUCCAACGUUAAUCGGGGCAGGGUGAGUCGACCCCUAAGGCGAGGCCGAAAGGCGUAGUCGAUGGGAAACAGGUUAAUAUUCCUGUACUUGGUGUUACUGCGAAGGGGGGACGGAGAAGGCUAUGUUGGCCGGGCGACGGUUGUCCCGGUUUAAGCGUGUAGGCUGGUUUUCCAGGCAAAUCCGGAAAAUCAAGGCUGAGGCGUGAUGACGAGGCACUACGGUGCUGAAGCAACAAAUGCCCUGCUUCCAGGAAAAGCCUCUAAGCAUCAGGUAACAUCAAAUCGUACCCCAAACCGACACAGGUGGUCAGGUAGAGAAUACCAAGGCGCUUGAGAGAACUCGGGUGAAGGAACUAGGCAAAAUGGUGCCGUAACUUCGGGAGAAGGCACGCUGAUAUGUAGGUGAAGUCCCUCGCGGAUGGAGCUGAAAUCAGUCGAAGAUACCAGCUGGCUGCAACUGUUUAUUAAAAACACAGCACUGUGCAAACACGAAAGUGGACGUAUACGGUGUGACGCCUGCCCGGUGCCGGAAGGUUAAUUGAUGGGGUCAGCGCAAGCGAAGCUCUUGAUCGAAGCCCCGGUAAACGGCGGCCGUAACUAUAACGGUCCUAAGGUAGCGAAAUUCCUUGUCGGGUAAGUUCCGACCUGCACGAAUGGCGUAAUGAUGGCCAGGCUGUCUCCACCCGAGACUCAGUGAAAUUGAACUCGCUGUGAAGAUGCAGUGUACCCGCGGCAAGACGGAAAGACCCCGUGAACCUUUACUAUAGCUUGACACUGAACAUUGAGCCUUGAUGUGUAGGAUAGGUGGGAGGCUUUGAAGUGUGGACGCCAGUCUGCAUGGAGCCGACCUUGAAAUACCACCCUUUAAUGUUUGAUGUUCUAACGUGGACCCGUAAUCCGGGUUGCGGACAGUGUCUGGUGGGUAGUUUGACUGGGGCGGUCUCCUCCUAAAGAGUAACGGAGGAGCACGAAGGUUGGCUAAUCCUGGUCGGACAUCAGGAGGUUAGUGCAAUGGCAUAAGCCAGCUUGACUGCGAGCGUGACGGCGCGAGCAGGUGCGAAAGCAGGUCAUAGUGAUCCGGUGGUUCUGAAUGGAAGGGCCAUCGCUCAACGGAUAAAAGGUACUCCGGGGAUAACAGGCUGAUACCGCCCAAGAGUUCAUAUCGACGGCGGUGUUUGGCACCUCGAUGUCGGCUCAUCACAUCCUGGGGCUGAAGUAGGUCCCAAGGGUAUGGCUGUUCGCCAUUUAAAGUGGUACGCGAGCUGGGUUUAGAACGUCGUGAGACAGUUCGGUCCCUA
rnacentral:rRNA from 1 species